UGGCAUAUCCUUUGCUCACAAAAGCAAUGAUAACUUAAGUUUUAAAUCAUGGUGGUAUAUUCAAACAACAUUGGUUAACUAUAUAUAUAGAGAUACAACUUUCAUGCAGAACACUUUGGCUGCAUCUUCUUGUUAAAACCAAGACCAAAUAAAAUUUUAGCAGCUCACAUUUCUGCAGUUGAUGCAUCAAUGGCUUCCAACAUUAAUGAAUAGUUUCAAGUAUUUGGCCACCCCAUCAUCCUGGAGCAAAAUCCAAUUGAGUAAGCCAGUUAUCCAAAAACAUAAAAUGUGGAGCAACACUGAUUCUAUACUAUGACAGUGCAGACAUGUCAUAGGCUUCAAAUUCUCUGGUAAGGUGAUAAUAUCCAUGUGACUUGGCAUAGGUAGCUCUGGGGAAGCAAUGUGUUAGAAUGGUCACUCAUUGUCGAGUCUCUCUUAACUCACACACUCAAUAUUAUCGAGAAUUUCUCAAUUCAUAUAUUCAAUGUUAUUGAUGUGAACUUGAUAACUUCUAUAUAAAAAAGUUAGUUUAAUAAAGUGAAAAUUACUCAACUUGUAUACUUGAUUUUAUCUCUAGUUUAUUAUAAUUUUCACUUAAAGUAGUGGAUUUUUUAUAAUAAUUUUGAAUCAUAAAGAUUUUUUAUAAAAAUUUGAACUAGUUUUGAAUUAUAUAUAUAUAUAUAUAUAUAUAUAUUUAUAAUGUUAUAUUUUACUAUAAACUAGUUCAAAUCCAACAAUCGUAAGUGAACUAAGGUAUAUCUAUUAAAUGGAAAAGAAAAAUAAAAUAAAAGCAUUAUUAUUAAUUUUUUGAAUCAUAAUAUUAAAUUAAUAACAUAAAUAUUAUAUAUAAAAUAACUAUUAAAAUAACAGUACAAUAUAAGAAAGACAUAAAGAAAAUAAAUUAAAUAUACAAAUAUAUAUGAAAAAUUAUGUAAAUUUUCACAAGAGAAUUAAACCAUUACUUCACAAGAGAAUUAGACGCUAAUCCAUUCGUCUUAAUGGUAAUUAGAUAAUGCAUAUUAACCACACUAGUUUGAGUGAAUCAUUUUAAUCAUUUAUUUAUUAUACACACAUUUUAUGGUUCUAUUACUAUCUCCCCUCUUUUGUUCCACAAAUUCCUCUCAAGAACUCCUAGUGUUUAUGAUGAUGGAUGGUGAUCCAAUCAAGAACAAGCUAUUUUCAAUAUUCAUUUCUUAUUUAUUUCCUAACCAAGGAAAAAUUCUCUUUUCUUCUUUGUUUCUUUGUUUCUUUGUUUUUCAAAUUUUCAAAAUUCAAAGAUGUGUCUUCAUUGAUAUACAUGCAGGGGAAACAUAUCAUUGUUUCUCUUGUUCAAUCUCAGAUAGCCUAUGAAGUUAUAAAAGGUUUUAUUGAUAUUUCAUUUAACUUUUAGUUUUGACAUAUAUAGCAUCUCUUUUUUAUUAUACAUGAUGAAAUGGUUUUGAUUUCUAAUAAUUGUAAACAUUAUAUCAUACAUGUAUUUGACUUUUACCACACUUAAUUUGUUUAUUUUUUACAUUCCAUUAUGAAUUGAGCAUUGUUUCUUCAUCAAUUUGAUGCUUGUAUACAAUUAAUUUGUUUAUGACUUCCUUUUUCCUCUAUGUGGACUUGAAACUACAACACAUUUUACUUAAUUCAUCUUUUUUUUAUAAUUAUAUAUGUAUUUUGAACAAAUAGCUACUUAUUUUUACAACUUUUCUAUUACAACUUUUGGUCAAAAAAAAUAAAACAAUUGUUUCUUAAUUUGUUAUCAAAUAUAGCCAAUAACGAGAGGAAAUAAACCUAGAAAUAUGUUUAAUAGGACAUGACAUUGAAACAAUAGUUUACAUGCAAGAUAUCCUUUAAUUUUUAAUAUUUGUGUUUGUAGAAAUUCCUCUUAAAAGGUGUCAUUGCAUUGUUGAUCAAAACCUACCCAAAGCUCCAAUUUUACCUAAAGUAAGAGUUAUUUGUUCUUUCAUUUAAGCAUAAAUUUUUAACCAUGAUGAUGAUUAGUGGAAAUUAAUUGAAUUUCAAAUGCAGAUUCUUGAGAUGAAUAGGCUUAUGCAAAUUCAUCAAAUAAUUUAGAAAGUCAUAUCCAAAAAGAAAAUUAAUACUACAAGAAAAUCAUCAAAUAGAAACCAAUUUUUAGAGACCAAAAUAAUUAGUUACAAUAGGAACUAAAAUAGAGACCAUUUUAGAAACUAAAAAAAAUUUGGUUUCUAAAUUAGUUUCUAUUAUUUUCUAUUAUUGUUAAAUAGUUUCUAAAUUGGUAUCUAAUUAGCAACUAAGGUUUUUANNNNNNNNNNNNNNNNNNNNNNNNNNNNNNNNNNNNNNNNNNNNNNNNNNNNNNNNNNNNNNNNNNNNNNNNNNNNNNNNNNNNNNNNNNNNNNNNNNNNAAAUAAUAGAAACUAAUUUAGAAACCAAUUUUUUUUUAGUUUCUAAAAUGGUCUCUAAUUUAGUUACUAUUGCAACUAAUUAUUUUGGUUUCUAGAAAUUGGUUUCUAUUUCAUGAUUUUCUUGUAGUGUAAUAUGCAAAUCAUGGUUAGAUAAAGUGAGUACAAAACCAAUAGAGAAAGAGAAAUAGAAAAGUUUCUAAAACUAAUGCAAAGGUGACAAGUAAACCAACAUUUAAACCUCACCAAUUUUGCAGAUCAUAACAAUAUUUCUGAUUUUUCCACUACUCAACACCCAAAUCCAAGUGCAAGAAUGCUUUCAAAUCACAAUCCUUCAAGCACAUCAUCAGAAGAAAUAGCAAAACCUACAAGGAAAUUUCCUUUACCUGCACGAAACACCAUUCAAGGUCUUAGAAGUGGCACUAGCUCUAGCUG
rnacentral:lncRNA from 1 species